UGAACGCUGGCGGCAUGCUUUACACAUGCAAGUCGAACGGUAACAGGCCUUCGGGUGCUGACGAGUGGCGAACGGGUGAGUAAUGCAUCGGAACGUACCCAGAGGUGGGGGAUAACGCAGCGAAAGCUGUGCUAAUACCGCAUGUGAUCUGAGGAUGAAAGCGGGGGACCGAGCAGCAAUGUUUGGCCUCGCGCCUUUGGAGCGGCCGAUGUCGGAUUAGCUAGUUGGUGGGGUAAAGGCCUACCAAGGCGACGAUCCGUAGCUGGUCUGAGAGGACGACCAGCCACACUGGGACUGAGACACGGCCCAGACUCCUACGGGAGGCAGCAGUGGGGAAUUUUGGACAAUGGGCGCAAGCCUGAUCCAGCAAUGCCGCGUGCGGGAAGAAGGCCUUCGGGUUGUAAACCGCUUUUGGCAGGAACGAAACGGUGUCCGCUAAUACCGGGCGCUAAUGACGGUACCUGCAGAAUAAGCACCGGCUAACUACGUG
rnacentral:rRNA from 1 species